CACCGCGGUUACACGAAUAGGCCCAAGUUGAUAGACAUCGGCGUAAAGGGUGGUUAAUAAAUAAGAAGUCAUACUAAAGCCGAACACCCUCAAAGCUGUUGUACGCAUCCGAGGGAAGGAAGUCCGCUCACGAAAGUGGCUUUAAACAACUAUGACCCCACGAAAGCUAGGGCA
rnacentral:rRNA from 1 species